UGGGGAAUAUUGCGCAAUGGACGAAAGUCUGACGCAGCGACGCCGCGUGAGGGAUGAAGGUUUUCGGAUCGUAAACCUCUGUCAGAAGGGAAGAAUGGUAGGCGUGUUAAUACCACGUUUAUUUGACGGUACCUUCAAAGGAAGCACCGGCUAACUCCGUGCCAGCAGCCGCGGUAAUACGGAGGGUGCAAGCGUUAAUCGGAAUUACUGGGCGUAAAGCGCGCGUAGGCGGUUUUUUAAGUCAGUGGUGAAAUCCCCGUGCUCAACAUGGGAACUGCCAUUGAAACUGGGAGACUAGAGUGUGUGAGAGGAUAGUGGAAUUCCUGGUGUAGGAGUGAAAUCCGUAGAUAUCAGGAGGAACAUCAGUGGCGAAGGCGACUAUCUGGCACACAACUGACGCUGAGGUGCGAAAGUGUGGGGAGCAAACA
rnacentral:rRNA from 1 species